rnacentral:rRNA from 1 species
UACGGAGGGUGCAAGCGUUAUCCGGAUUCACUGGGUUUAAAGGGUGCGUAGGUGGGCAGUUAAGUCAGUGGUGAAAUCUCCGGGCUUAACCCGGAAACUGCCAUUGAUACUAUCUGUCUUGAAUAUCGUGGAGGUAAUGCGGGAAUAAUGUCAUGUAGCGGUGAAAUGCUUAGAUAUGACAUAGAACACCAAUUGCGAAGGCAGCUUACUACCCGAAUAUUGACACUGAGGCACGAAAGCGUGGGGAGCGAACAGG